GUAGGCCAGAGGCUACAGCUCCGAUUCAACCCCUAACCUGGGAACCUACAUAUGCCAAGGGUGCAGCCCUAAAAAGAAAAAAAAAAAAAAGCAACAUGCACAAGACAGCCAAUGGAAGCUCAUAAGAAUGAAGUCACUGAACUUUAAUACACCCUGAAAGGAGGUCAGGGUGGGGAUCAGGAAGGAGGCAUUCUCUCUCUGGGAAAACUGACAGAUCAGGCCUUCAGGUGAAUACAUGCUACUGGACUGAUCCUCUGUCAAAUUCCAUGAGUGUGUUUAAUUUCCAGCGUAAUAACCAAAUGAGGCAUUGGAGUUGUCGCAUUACUUGGAAGAGAUAUGGAGAAAAUCAUGGAAACAACAUUGAGAUAGGAAGAGAAAUGACAAUCCUGGCCUGUAUAACACUGUCCCUUGCAGGCAGGUGUUCAGAGCAUCUGGAGAACGUCUCCUAUGGCCAGACAUCUGCAUCAGCAAGCUCACUGGGGACCUGCCAGGCUCUUCACUGGUGACAUGGAGGAUGAUGGUCUCCAGCCCCGUCUGCAGACUUAGCUGUGACCUGGCCCAGAUCCAUGGCCUGCCAAAGCAGGAGACCCCCACAGUUCUGCACCUAAUGGGGAGAGUCCUCCCUGUUUUCCUGCCUGAAGGACAGGAAUGCUUUGGGGUUCCCCCAAAGCUGAACAGCAGCCAGUUCCAAAAAGCUCAGGCCACCUCUUUCUCCAUGAGAUGAUCUAGCCGAGCUUCAACUUGUUUGGCACAAACAGCUGGAAUUCUUCAUUGGGCUUGAUCAGCAGGAGGAAGCUCUGCAGACCAGUUUGGUGCAGGAGCCUGGGGAAGAAAAGACCUUCCUGGAAAUGAGGACUCUAGCCUGACUUUGAAUAACUCCUUUUGAAGGACCGGGUUACAUCUGAAAAGAAAGUACGUAGCUGCUGUGCACAGGACAUUGUCAGACUGGAAAUUAAGACCUGAAAACCAGUAUGUGCUUUCCCUGUAGCAUCAACCUCAGAGAAAAUCCAGGAGUGGGAAAGGAGACUUGGACCCAGUCAUGUACAACUGAGUCUUAUCUACUUAUAGGUGCCUCUUGUGUGUCAGUGUUCCCUCAGUUCAAAGACUUUUUCUUCUUCGGUUGUAAAUGCAUUGAGUCAUCUCGGCAAAUUGUUUUUCAAUACUAAAAGAGAAUAUAAUUUUGAA